UACGGAGGAUCCAAGCGUUAUCCGGAAUCAUUGGGUUUAAAGGGUCCGUAGGCGGUUUGGUAAGUCAGUGGUGAAAGCCCAUCGCUCAACGGUGGAACGGCCAUUGAUACUGCCAGACUUGAAUUAUUAGGAAGUAACUAGAAUAUGUAGUGUAGCGGUGAAAUGCUUAGAGAUUACAUGGAAUACCAAUUGCGAAGGCAGGUUACUACUAAUGGAUUGACGCUGAUGGACGAAAGCGUGGGGAUCAAACAGG
rnacentral:rRNA from 1 species